rnacentral:rRNA from 1 species
UACGAAGGGUGCAAACGUUGCUCGGAAUUAUUGGGCGUAAAGCGCACGUAGGCGGCUUGGCAAGUCGGAUGUGAAAUCCCUCGGCUCAACCAAGGAAGUGCAUCCGAAACUGCAGAGCUUGAGUACUUAAGAGGAUCGCGGAAUUCCCGGUGUAGAGGUGAAAUUCGUAGAUAUCGGGAGGAACACCGGUGGCGAAGGCGGCGACCUGGGUCGAUACUGACGCUGAGGUGCGAAAGCGUGGGGAGCAAACAGG